AGGCAGGUGCCUUGUUGGCCCGCUUGGUCCCCACCUGCUCCUGGCCAAAGCACCAGGACACCACAGCAGGCCAAACACCUCUUCUAAAUUUUUUUUUAAUGUUUAUUUAUUUUUGAAGGAGAGAGAGACAGAGCGUGAGCGGGGGAGCAGUGGAGAGAGAGGGAGACACAGAAUCCGAAGCAGGCUCCAGGCUCUGAGCUAUCCGCACAGAGCCCAGCUGGGGAUUCAAACCCACAAGCCGUGAGAUCAUGACCUGAGCUGAAGUUGGACGCUUAACUGACUGAGCCAGCCAGGCGCCCCAGGCCAAACAUCUCUUCUAAUAUGUGUUGAUUUUGGGGUGGUUUGAAACUUCAGAUCUCCAGGUAAAAUUCGAAACCAGACUCUGCACAGGGAGGGCACGGGGAAGGAAGAAAGAGGCAGGCCACUCCAGAUCAGUAGGUGAUGGGUUUAAAUAGCAGGGGAACUUAGGAGGCAGGCAGGGGAUCAUCCCAGGUGCCAAGAGCGUAGAUCUCUGCACCUGCCAGCCAGAAUCUUAGCAGUUUACACGGAGGCCUUAACGGGGUUCAGUCAUGGUACCCGCCAGCACCUCCCUCCCUCCAGCUGCAUCCUUGAGUGGCUCCUAGUGUGGCAAUGGUGGGCUGAGUGUGUAUUUCAAGGACAGAGGAGGGGGUAAGAACCUCUGAUUGCUCGAGGGUCAACCGGAAGUCGUGUCCUCCGGAUGACCUCUUCCGACAACGCCUGCGCCUGCGUGGGAAGCCGGCAGCCUGCAGGAUUAGCUUCAUUUCCUCCAGGGCUUUCCCUCUGGCCUCCAGCUCUGGCUCCAGGCUGCUCUCUCGUGGACAGGGCUAACCCCGGCACAAAGUGCAGUCUUUUGGCGGAAUCUGCCCUCAGGCCCUCCAGGACCUCCGGGUUCACGGAGCUGGACAAAGCCAACCUCCGCGCCCGGCCCCCACGCGGAAACUUCUUGCCAGGAAAGAUCAACUGGUUUUCCCAAGCCUGGCUCUGACCUUGUGGACAGGAAGCACCUUGAAACAGUCUCUGCAGAAGGAUCACCACAACAGAGGCAGAAACCGGGAUCACUUUUUUGCUUGGAGGAAAUCUGUACGAAUGGGCAGUCCCUAAUAUUACCACGUCACAGAAUGGCAGGACUGGAAGGGAGCUCUGAGGUCAACCUGUCCAGCUCCUUCGUGGUGCAGAUGGGGAAACUGAGGACCAGGUGAGAGAAAUUAUGAAGGAGAGAGAAACCUAAGAAAACAAGCAACCUGUCAUUGUUCUUACACUUCACCUUCUUUGGAAUGGGUGCCUGACCUCACUGGAAACUCACAAGAAUUUGCCGAUACGACACUCCACCCUUUUCAAAGAUUCAGCGAGCUCCCAGAACACGCAAGUCUUCCUCAACUGGACAGUGUGAGUUUCUUCCCAAGGCUUCACGUCCAUUGCAGAGCCCAACAUGGGGCUUGAACUCAGGACCCUGAGAUUGAGACCUGACCUGAGAUCAAGAGUCAGGCGUUUAACCUCCUGAGCCACCCAGGUGCCCCUAUUUUCUUCCUUUUUUAGUAUAUCUAUGCCAUUUCCAAACUGUAUAUAAUGAAAAAUAUAACAGUUAUAACCAGAUAAAAACGCUGGUAAGAUUUAUCAGGUGCCAAAUCUGAGUCUAUUGCAGAUGUUCAUUUAAGGACCAUCAUCUCAUUUAGCGUUAUAACUACUUUCAAGGUAGGUAUAUCAUGCCCAUUUCACAGAUGAGAACACUGAGGUGGAUCCUCUUCAUCCUCCAUGUCUUAUCUUAGACAGUGUUUCCUCUAAGAAGCCCUCCUUGACCUUCUGAGUCUGGUUAAAUUUUUUUGAGUUCCCAUUGUUCCCAUUGUCUUUCUGGGCGUUUGGGGGGAUUUUUUGGUGGCGGAGGGGGUUGGUGCAGGCAG